rnacentral:tRNA from 1 species
GGUAAAAUGGCUGAGGAGUUAGGCGGUAAAUUGUAAGUUUACAAACGAAGGUUUUCUUUUAUC